UAGCUUUGACAUUAGGCGCACGGUCCUCAACCAUUCCACUUUUAACCAGCUUUUGGACUUCAUAUUUUAGGGGGUAACAAUUCUCAAUAUCAUGACCGGGAGCUCCUUGGUGAAAGGCACAGCGGAGUUCCGAUUUGUACCACCAUGGAAGUGGUUCAUGGAUCUGAGGUGGAUUUCUCGGUUGCAGAAGGUUCUUGAGAACCAACGAUGUAUAUAAUUCUGCAUAUGUCAUAGGAAUUGGGUCAAAAGAGACCUUU
rnacentral:lncRNA from 1 species